CUGGAGCCCCCCCAUAAUGCCGUCUCCCAGGACAGAUGUUCCAGCUGUGCUCCUCCUGGGAUUUCUCCUGCUGUACGUCUAUGCAACCUCUGUCAACGAUGCUCCGAAAACAUGCAGC